GCCUCCAGCCGAUGUCUCUCUUCCCUGCAGCGCCGACACUGGGCGGUGCCCACGCUACAUGCCCUGUGCCAGAAGUCAGUUGUCAGCCCUUUGUAGAAGACGGGAGAACUGUACUGUUGACAAAGGCAGGCACCCUGGACACUUCAUAGCAGACUGAGUAUCCCGAACCCAGACAUCUGAAAUCCUCAGUGCUCCAAAGGCUGGAAUUUAUUUGCUUACGCAAGGGGAGAAUUCACCCGACUUUCUGUGAUGGGUCACAGUAGCAAGGAACAAGUUGAACCAUGGAAACACUGGGUGUGUGGUUGUUUAUACUGAGUUGAUUGAAGCAACUGGCUUGUAGCCUCAGACUCUAGCAAAUCCACUUGGAUCCUUCCUAGCUGUGGGUUCUACCCCAGCAGUGCACCAGGCCCGUUCCCAUUCCAUCCCAGGUUUCCUCCUCCCAUUUGCUCUCCAGCUGCUGGCCCUUCCAGAAUCAACCCUUUCUGUCCAGAAUCAAUCCUUUCCACCGGUUACACUUCCCAGAUUCCCCCUUCGAUUAUGCCACUUUUCUGCUUAAAAAUGCUGGUAAUUUGCUAGUCAUCUGUGAAGUCCAAACUCCCAAAUAUGACACCAGCUGGCAUGCUAGCCCUCCCCCACCCAGAGCCCACAGUCCGGCGCAGCAGAGCCAUCUCUGUGCCUGACUUGAGAAAGUCUUCACAUCUCUAUGGAAGCUUUAGGCUCCCUUUAAUGUCCAGCCCACACGCAGUCUCUGUGAUCACCAAAUCCAUAAAACUAUCAUCCGAGGAGA